rnacentral:lncRNA from 1 species
GAAGAUAUGACAAAGAAACAAGCUUCGUUUUGUUUUCAGUUUUAAGAAAUGACGCCAACAUUGCAGGCUGAUGUAUCGAAUGAUUUUAUGUGAUAACUUGUAACUUGGCAGGUUUCCCUGGUGGCUCAGACAGUAAAGAAUCUGCCUGCAUGCGGGAGACCUGGGUUCGAUCCCUGGGUCGGGAAAAUCCCCUGGAGAAGGGAAUGGCAACCCACUCCAGUAUUCCUGCCUGAAGAAUCCCAUGGACAGAGGAGCCUGGUGGGCUACAUGGGGUCCAUGGGGUUGCAGAGUUGGACACAACUGAGCAACUUACUGCUAACACAAUUUGUUAAGAUUAACAUAUUUUACACCUUUUAUUUGUAGUAGUUGUUGUAAUCUUAAAGAUGAGCAGGUAAACUUCAUGUUUAUAUGCCUUCACAACAUUUUGGCAUUAAUCUCCCCUCUGCACUGUAAUCUUUGUGAUUGUUGUGGAUGUUUAGUGGGUAUUACUGAGGGUGACACAGAGUGUGUGAUAGAUUAUAUGCCAAGAUGGUCACCAGCAGCCCCUCCUAUUCCUACAUGAGUGCUGGCCUCUCCUCUAGAAGUGUAGUUUAUUUUCCUUUCUCUUAAAUCUGGGAUGACUUUGCUUUGUCCAAAAGAAUGGAACAGAAGUAAUAUUGCACCAAGCUUUGUGAAGCAUUGCAACUUGUACUUUCAUUCUUUUUGGAGCCCUCUGAGACACAGUAUAAAAGAGUCCAUCUAUUCUGCUCAACAGAGAAGCCAUAAGAAGAGAAACAGUCCCAGACAUCCUGGGCCAUUUCAGCCACACUAGCUGGAGCUCCAGACAGGUAAGUGAAAACAUCUGAGAUCCUCCAGGCCAGGUGAGCCAUCCUAGACAAGACUACACGGGACAAAGAGGAGCACCCUGCCCAAAUCCUGCCUAAUUUGGAGAAUUGUAGGCAAAAAUGUGGCUGCUGUUGUUGUUGUUAGCCACUCACUUUUGGCAUGGCUCCUUAUGCAGCAGUAGAUCCGCAGCGUGGUCUUCCCUGGGAAGAAUCCCAGCCUCAGAAGCACCCUAUCCAAGAGCAGUUUGUUUCCUUUGUCUCAUGUUUUUAUCUUCUGUCCUGAGCAACUUCCUCUUUAUUUCUUCAGUUACCACUCCACUAUCUGAUCUAUCCACUCUCCAUGGAUUUUCAAGGAAGAUCAGUGAUGUUGUGAAAAAGGUCUUGACCUUUGAUUGGUACCCUCAGAGAAGACUAUCAGAAUCUUCAGUUGCAUAAUAAAUUUGAGAAGCUUCCAGUCAAGAAAAUUGCAUCACCUUUUCUGAUAUUCCUACCUCAUUUCAACAUCUAGUUAUCCUCUGUCUCAGAUAAGAUGCCUUUUGGAUCUAAUAUAGUUAGAGUAACCAUACUGGAACACUUCUGAAAUUGAAAUGGGCAUUGUUAACAAUUAGGCCAGAUAGAGAGCCUGGUAGGCUGCAGGCUGAACGACUUCACUUUCACUUUUCACUUUCAUGCAUUGGAGAAGGAAAUGGCAACCCACUCCAGUGUUCUUGCCUGGAGAAUCCCUGGGACGGGGAAGCCUGGUGGGCUGCCAUCUAUGGGGUCGCACAGGGUCAGACACGACUGAAGUGACUUAGCAGCAGCAGCACCAGCAGCAGCAGGACUAUCUUGGGUAACCCAAGCGAUACAUAACUUAAUCUAGGUAGUACCUAUCAUAUCUUCUUUCUUUACAUAUGAAACUAUAUAAUAUAUGUAUAUGUGUG